CGUAGGUGGCAAGCGUUGUCCGGAUUUAUUGGGUUUAAGGGUGCGUAGGCGGUUCCAUAAGUCAGUGGUGAAAUACGGCAGCUCAACUGUCGAGGUGCCAUUGAUACUGCGGAACUUGAGUACUGAUGAGGUAGGCGGAAUUGACGGUGUAGCGGUGAAAUGCUUAGAUAUCGUCAAGAACACCGAUAGCGAAGGCAGCUUACCAAGCAGUAACUGACGCUGAGGCACGAAAGUGCGGGGAUCAAACAGGAUUAGAUACCCUGGUAGUCCGCACAGUAAACGAUGAUUACUCGAUGUUGGCGAUACACAGCCAGCGUCUUAGCGAAAGCGAUAAGUAAUCCACCUGGGGAGUACGCCCGCAAGGGUG
rnacentral:rRNA from 1 species